rnacentral:rRNA from 1 species
UACGGAGGGGGCUAGCGUUGUUCGGAAUUACUGGGCGUAAAGCGCACGUAGGCGGCUUUGUAAGUUAGAGGUGAAAGCCCAGGGCUUAACCCUGGAAUUGCCUUUAAGACUGCAUCGCUAGAAUCGUGGAGAGGUGAGUGGAAUUCCGAGUGUAGAGGUGAAAUGCGUAGAUAUCAGGAGGAACACCUGUGGCGAAAGCGGCUCACUGGACCACAACUGACGCUGAUGCACGAAAGCUAGGGGGAGCAAACAGG